rnacentral:rRNA from 1 species
CCCGCUGAACUUAAGCAUAUCAAUAAGCGGAGGAAAAGAAACCAACAGGGAUUGCCUUAGUAACUGCGAGUGAAGCGGCAAAAGCUCAAAUUUGAAAUCUGGUACCAUUCGGUGCUCGAGUUGUAAUUUGGAGAGGCAACUUCGGAGAGGGCGUUGGCCUAAGUUCCUUGGAACAGGACGUCACAGAGGGUGAGAAUCCCGUGCUUGGCUGACUGUCCCUCUUCAUGUGAAGUGUCUUCGACGAGUCGAGUUGUUUGGGAAUGCAGCUCAAAAUGGGUGGUAAACUCCAUCUAAGGCUAAAUAUUGGCGAGAGACCGAUAGCGCACAAGUAGAGUGAUCGAAAGAUGAAAAGCACUUUGAAAAGAGAGUUAAAAAGUACGUGAAAUUGUUGAAAGGGAAGCGCUUGAGACCAGACUCGGUGAUAGGUGAUCAGCGGUAGCUUCUGCUCCGUGCACUUGCCUUUUACCGGGCCAGCAUCAGUUACAGCGGUGGGAUAAAGGCUCAGGGAAUGUGGCUCCCUUCGGGGAGUGUUAUAGCCCUGGGUGUAAUGCCACCUGUUGUGACUGAGGACCGCGCUUCGGCUAGGAUGCUGGCAUAAUGGUCUUCAGCGACCCGUCUUGAAACACGG